GUAUCAUAGAGGGUGAGAAUCCCGUCUUUGACCUAGUGCAUGCUACUAUGUGAUACGUUUUCAAAGAGUCGAGUUGUUUGGGAAUGCAGCUCAAAAUGGGUGGUAAAUUUCAUCUAAAGCUAAAUAUUGGCGAGAGACCGAUAGCGAACAAGUACCGUGAGGGAAAGAUGAAAAGAACUUUGAAAAGAGAGUUAAACAGUGCGUGAAAUUGUUGAAAGGGAAACGUUUGACACCAGUCAUGUGGGUGGAAAAUCAGUCUUUUGCAUUGGGGAGUUGUAAGGGUUCGGACCGCAAGGCCGGCUUUUGCUUCAUCUUUGGUGUAAGUGAUGCACUUUUUCAUCUACAGGUCAACAUCAGUUUCUUUUGCUGGACAAAACUCCGAGAGAAGGUAGCAGCUUAGGCUGUGUUAUAGCUCUGGAGCGAUACAGUGAAGGGGACUGAGGUUUUCGCAGCGUGUGCUCUCGGGCAAGGCUGGAUGGGUGCUAUGGGAUCGUUCGGGGUACAAUGCCUGGCAUUUUGCUUCGUGUCUUUUCUAUACUCGCUCAACUCAGCUCUUCCACGCUUAGGAUGUUGACUUAAUGGUUUUAAACGACCCGUCUUGAAACACGGACCAAGGAGUCUAACAUAUAUGCAAGUGUUUGGGUGGCAAACCCAUGCGCGUAAUGAAAGUGAACGUAGGUGCGAUCCGCAAGGUGCAGCAUCGACCGAUCUUGAUAUUUUUGGAUAGAUUUGAGUAAGAGCAUAUAUGCUGGGACCCGAAAGAUGGUGAACUAUGCCUGAAUAGGGUGAAGCCAGAGGAAACUCUGGUGGAGGCUCGUAGCGAUUCUGACGUGCAAAUCGAUCGUCAAAUUUGGGUAUAGGGGCGAAAGACUAAUCGAACCAUCAGAGUGCCAC
rnacentral:rRNA from 1 species